rnacentral:rRNA from 1 species
AUACGGAGGGGGCUAGCGUUGUUCGGAAUUACUGGGCGUAAAGGGCGCGUAGGCGGAUUGUCAAGUCAGAGGUGAAAGCCCUGGGCUCAACCUGGGAACUGCCUUUGAAACUAACGGUCUAGAGUCCGAGAGAGGAUGGCGGAAUUCCCAGUGUAGAGGUGAAAUUCGUAGAUAUUGGGAAGAACACCAGUGGCGAAGGCGGCCAUCUGGCUCGGUACUGACGCUGAGGCGCGAAAGCGUGGGGAGCAAACAGGAUUAGAAACCCCGGUAGUCC